AGAUUGAACGCUGGCGGCAUGCCUUACACAUGCAAGUCGAACGGCAGCACGGGAGCAAUCCUGGUGGCGAGUGGCGAACGGGUGAGUAAUAUAUCGGAACGUGCCCAGUCGUGGGGGAUAACGUAGAGAAAUUUACGCUAAUACCGCAUACGAUCCAAGGAUGAAAGCGGGGGACCGUAAGGCCUCGCGCGACUGGAGCGGCUGAUAUCAGAUUAGCUUGUUGGUGAGGUAAAAGCUCACCAAGGCGACGAUCUGUAGCUGGUUUGAGAGAACGACCAGCCACACUGGGACUGAGACACGGCCCAGACCUCCUACGGGAGGCAG
rnacentral:rRNA from 1 species